UUGGCUCGGAGAAAAGAGACUGCCCACUUUGAGGCCAGGUUUUGAAUGGCUGCCACUCUCAUAGCAGGCUUCUGUUCAGAAAUCAGUGUGAAGAAUGCUCUGCAUGGAGACGGCCUCUUCAUUGCCCGGCACAGAGAAUUCUCCCCCAUCCCCAGCACCUGGGCCCACUUUAAAUACAGAAAUUAGUUCAGGGCCAGACUGAGCCAAAAUAUGAUGUGUCGAAUAUGUUCAUUAUCCAUUUGGUUUGAAAGAAUCAAGGAAAUCAUUCAUAAUAAGACAUCUGAUUAUGAUAUAUGGUAUGAAUUUAAGCUAAAUCUUAAUUUCUAAAUCAAAGUAUGCUCUCUGCAGUUUCCCAGUUCCGACUGUGGGGGACUCUGGCAGGACCAUGAUGAACGGUCCCUCGUGUACUUUCAACUCACACACAUUCUCUCUCUUAAAUCUUGCCUUCUGAAAACCGACUUGUUCUGUUUGUGAAAAACGGAACUGAUAGGAUCCAAAAUUCCUAUCUGUUCUCCCUUAAGACUUCUAUUCAUCCUCCCCGUGGACAGUGAUAUUACUUUCCAAAUAGUUUCCCACUGUAUCAGUCACUGGUCCAGGAAGCUACAAUGGCACUCAGUUGCUCAAGUGGCAAAUCUUGUUUUUUGAAACAUUCGAGCUCUCCUCUGCCCCUCUGCCCUCAUGUAUAUUCUUUUUAGCAAGUUCCUACACUCCAACCCAAACACUAGGAUUGCUGAGUCCUAGUCAUUGUCAACGCUCUUCUUAUUUUCUCCCCAGAGGUGUGUCCAUCCAUCAUAAAGCCUUUCCCAACUUUGACUGCUCCAAAGUCUGCAUCCCCUUCACGUCCUCACUUUAUACACUACGCAGUACUGGGACCCCUCCCAAUUCUCAUGUAAAUCUAUCAUCUGGGGAGCUGGGCUGGAAGUCACGGGACAUAAGUUCUAAUCCUGAAUGUGCAACUAACUAGCAAUUUAAUUAACUUCCCUAUGCUUCAGUUCCUCUUCUAACAAAUGAGGAUGCUAACAGCAGCCCCAUCUCAACCUCAACUAGAGUCAUCUCAACCCUGUGAUGCUAGAAGGAGAGAAUCACAGUGUCAGAGAAUCACAGUGUCGUUAUGAUAUCUUGGUGAGGUCAACUUAACUCACUUGGCUCUGUACUGCAUAGGAAAAAUGGCAAGGCAAGAGAAAGUCAGCAAAUGCCAGAGGAAGCAAGUGCCAACCAUCUCAAAUCACAGCUGGAAAAAUACAGGCAACCUUAAGACAGGCUCAGCCUCUGUAGCAGGUGUCAGUGUCUACACAGACACAGAUCGGAGAGUGCUGAUGGUUGUGGAGCUGUAUGGGCAUGCAGAUGUGUAUUGUGACUGCCUCUGCCGGGCUAGCACUAUCCAGCAGGCAAGUCCUCUGGAGCUGAAAGCUUGCCUGGGUGUGAAGUGGAGUAGAUGCUCUAGUGGCAGUACCUAAAAUGGGAUGUGGCUGCAUCUUCCUUGAAGAAAAUUUCCCUCAAAAGCUCCUGAAAGGAAAAGGUCUCCUAGACGAUACUAUGCUGGUGCCCUUGGAGCUGGGAAUGUGUUCCGUUCUGGGCCCCGUUCUUCAGAAGGGACUCGAAAACAUGAGCACAGGCAAAGAGUAAGCAGGCUCAGGAGGCAGCUGGAAACCACCACACGUGAAGGCUGGCUGGCAGAAAUGGGUUGUUUGGCCAUAACAAGGCGAGAAUUUGGAGCCAAGUUGUCUUUACAAGUAGGACAUUUGUGUGCUAUGACACCAGAGGGCUGAGCUAGAACUAAAGGGCAGACUUUCUAUAGAGGCAAAUUUUGCCAAGAACUUUCUAGUAAUUGAAGUUGCCCUUGAAGGAAUGGGCUGCCUCAUGAGCCGUGAAUGGGCUGGGCGCGCACAAGCAGGGACUGAACUGAUGGAGAGGAGAUUUCUGCAUUGAGUGGGAGGUAGAAAUAAAGCCCCGCCCAGUACUGAGCCUGUGAUUGCACACAUGGAUUCAGGAUCUCUGCCAGGCCACCCACCCUCUCACUGGGUUACUGAAAUGGUCUCAGAGUUGUUAAUGGCUUCCAGCUGUAUCCAAAAUGCAUGGUCUUUUUUUUAACCCUUAAUAUACCUAAAUGGAGCAGAGUUGCUGCUCAGUUAGACUGGAUGGAGAACUGAAGUUAGAACUCCUGCUCUUUUCUUCCAUACCCCUCCCAGACAAUCAGGGCGGGGCCAGCCUGGGAAGUCCUUCUCCUGGGAGCCCAGAGGCUGAGUUUGGUCACAGGCUAAAAACAAUUUGUGGUCGACAUUAAGAAGUGGGGCACUGUGCUUAAGACAGUUUUGUGGUUUCUUUCUCCCCACCGCAGGUUGCCUCCUCUCCGAAGUUAUUUCCUUUUUGUCUUUCAUUCUUUUAAACCCUGAUACUCAAGGCUACAUAUACUAUUUUGAGACUUAGAGUACUUUUUUAAAAAGGCAAUUUAGGGGCUGAGUAGUCUCUCCUUAAAUUAGUUAAUUGUCUGGUCCCUGGGUGUAACCGAAUGCGUUCAGCUCUCCUCCCUUCCGCAGAUUGCUUCCCCACUCCCAAAUGCAUCUCCUCCCUUAGAUGUAAAGAAAAGGAAAGCAUCCCUUCUUGGUUCUUAGUUCUUUGAAAUAGGAGGUGACAAGCUCUGUGAACGGGGAUUCAACUUGGAUGUGACUUUGGCUCCCUAAGAUUUUGGAUCUCCAAAUCUUCUGGAGUCGAGUAAAUGGAGUCUAUCUAAAAGUUUAUUGCAUGAGUGUUAUACCAUGACCAAUCCAGUUCAAAGACUUCAGGGUGCACACAGCGCAUGCCGUAGGAUUUCCCACGAAAUAGUUGGUUUAAAAAGACCAGGGGAAAAAUGUUACAUGGGAAUAUUUUUCUGUCCGCUAAUCAAAUAUUCCCCCUUCCUUUAGGGGCAUUUUUUUUGUUUGUUUCUUUGUUUUUUGUUUUGUUUUGUUUUUACAAAGCCCUGAGAAGUACCUUGAAUAAGAUUUACUUUAUCGGCACCUGACUGGAUUAGCAAAAUUGAUGAAUUAACUUCUCCCACAGUCGGGAAAAUGAAAUCCAGAACAUACGUUUGUGCACUUGGGGAAAACAGGGUGCAGGGGCAAAGUGAGGCUAAAGGUCAAAUAUUUGUUAAAUUUGUACAGAACAUUAAGCUGGAGAGAGGGAGCUAAUUAAAAUUUUCAGAGUAAUUGCUAAAAUCACUGGAAAGUGUAAUGUCUAAAUCUAGCAGGGCAGAAGCAGCCAUUUGCAUCUUUUUGGCAGCUCUUCUUUGGGCAUAUGGAAACCAUGGUUUAUUUCUUUACAGUAUUCUCCUACUUAUUUGUGAAGUAGUCUUUAGCCUUCCAAGAAUCUUCCAUCCGUCCACGGAAGGCCCCGGUGAAAUGGUUCAUCUUUGCAUUUCCUCUGAAGACUUUUUGAAUUCUUCAAUGGUGACAGCUUACGUUUUCUUUUUCUCUCUUUCUCUUUUGUUGCUUAGGUUCAUUUUAUCUCUGUUCCCCCUUUUCUGGGUUUUAUCUUAAAAGUGUGGAAAUAAGACUUCCUUAGGAGAACAAGUCAAAAUUAUGGCAGCUUAGGAAGCAUCAUUCUUAGGUCUGAAGGGAGCAGGAAGACCUUUGGCAAAUGCUGAAACGGAGAGUCGGAUGGGCGGGGGUGCUGCGGACCCCAUUAUUAACCUCAGGGGAGAACUUAAUUGGAAGUCAUAAAGUGGUUUAUUCAUUUGGAGAAAGCAAGAAGACAGACUCUUCCAUUCCUUCCAGGGUGGACAGUUGCUCGUGCCAAGGGAGACCUCAGGCUAAUGUUACAGGGUCCUGGCGGAGCCCAGAACCACAUCAGUGGACCCUUUCUGCAGAAACCUGUUCCUUGGCCGUCUGCUCUACUUCUCCCUCUUAGGAUUCCUUAAGGUUACCUUAAGGCCCUCUCAUGGUCACUGUCACUUUCAUGACAGAGCCCACAUUAGAGCAUCUCAAAAUCUGCCAAGGAUUCCUUCCCACAGGCCCUUGGCACCAGCCACAGGGCGAAGAGAAGAAUCAUUUGCAACCCAGACGGUUAGAACUAGGGGAUAACCUUUAGAUGCUGCUCAUUGAAGGAAUGUGUCUGUUGCACUGAUCUCAGACGGGUCCUGGGCAAAACUGGUAGUGUUUGAGCCACUAUUUUCAUGCGAAGUUGGAAUGUUAGAGGCAGAACUGCAAACGUUUCUGCUCUGGGUUUGGUCUCCUGCCUGCUCUAAUAACAGAGUGAUUCUUGGGUGAUGUCACAUACAAUAGGCCAAUGAUGUAGUGAGCCAAAUCAAACCGUACACUCUACUUCUUAUUUUGUCAUUCAUCUUUUCAAUUAUCCCAGGCAAGCCACAUUUCUUCUAGAAAGCAAAUUUCCUAAUCAAUAAGAGGAGGCCAUUCGUUGCAGGCUUGCCUCCUGGCUGUUAAUGAGGAAGAAUUAUUACAACAUAAAAACACUUAUGCAUAAAUAGUUUUGAUAUUAACCUUGAUUUUGUUGGACUGUGAUAUUCGACUAGAGUAAAAUUCUACUUUUAAGAGAAUUAUGCAAAAAAAAAAAGUUAGUUUAAUGAAAUAAAAAUGGCCAUUGACACCCAGUGACCAGGUCACGUUAAUUCUUCUUUUGUAACGACUUCUUUUGCAAAGCCCUCUUUUCCAUUUUUCUUAAACAGUCUUUGAUCAUGUUGAAUCUUUGCUCAGAAACCAUCAGCAGCUUUUUGCUGCCUCGAGGAAAAAUUCCUAAAUCCUUAAGUCCUUUCCACAGUUGGCUCCAUGGAACUUCAGGGCUUGCCCAUACUAUCCCUGGUAAUUUUCAAAUGUGUGUUAUUCGGCUUGUAUUGUUUCUCACACCUGGAACCCUUUUCCUUUUCAUUGGUUUAAAUGCUGCUACUUUUUCGAGGUCUGGGUUCCACUUAUAUCUUCAUUCAUCUACUAGAACAUACACGCCAGGAGGGCAGGGAUUAUUGUCUGUUCUGUUCACUGCUGCUCAACAGAACGUCUCCCGAAUGAUUAAAUGAAUGAAUGAAACCAACCCAUUACAAGUCCUAUUAGUCUUAUUUCCAAAUCUGCUAUUUCUCUCUACCUCUACCUUGUUCCAAGUCACUGACAUUUCCUGUGUGGACUAUUAACACAACAGCCUCCUAUCUUGUCUUUUUCCUUCCAUGUUGUAUACCCUUCACCCCAGUCCUUUCUCUACUGAACAGCCAGUGUGAUGCUUUUAAAAAUGUAAUCAGAUUUCAUCACUCUCCUGUUUAAGAUCCCUAAUUGGCUUCCUAUUGCCCUUAGGAUAAUGUUCCAGUUCCUGAAGUUGGUCUACAAGGCCCUAGAAGAUUUGGUCUCUGUAUUCCUCUCUACUUAUUCUCUUAUCACUGUUUCUCGGACAGUGAAAGGGGCCAGCCAGCAAAGGACUGGGAGAAGGACCUUUCAAGCAGCAGGAAGAGGCAGGGCAAAAACUCUGAUGUGGGAAUGUGCUUGGCAGUUUGAAGAACAUAAAGGAGGCCAGUGUUCCUGGAGCACAGUGAGUGAGAGAAAGAGGUCCAUGAUGAGGUCUGCGAGGUUAGCAGGGGUCAAAUCACAUGGGGACUAGACGAAUUAACAGUUCCACUCUGACCAAGAUGUCAACAAUUGUUUUUUCUAGAACUCUUUUCAGGACUGCACAAUAUUUUUUUCAGGAGAAAUUUCUUGACAAGCCUACUUGGGAUAAAGGCUGGGCUCCCAAGGGCCUGCAUGUGGGCUGAACUGUUCAGAGAGGCAAGGAAAAGAGUCUACCUAUAAAAUGGGAGAGGGAGGAUGGAGCAUGAGACAGCAAGGGAGAGAGGGGGAGGGUGGAAUGAAGUGGUGCUGGAAGAAGACUGCGCACUCCACAAGGUGACCCCUUCUGUAGAACCUUGAAAAUCUGUAGUAAAGGCUCCAAAAUAUGGCAAAAUGUCAGAUGAGGGGAUGUUUUUUGUAGGAGCUGGUAAAGUAGCUGAGUCACAGCGCAGGGGAGGACAGGAAGGCCAUGGGAGCCCAGGAGGGGCUUGGUAGAGAAAAUCAUGAGGAAGUACAUUGCAGAUUCUCCAGAAAUCAUGGGAAGAGCUCCAGACUUUUAAAAAAAGGUUGUAUCAUUGGUGUUUACACAGGUUUAAUCCGACAUCUGAGGGGCCACGGUCACCAAGCUAAUGUUGGGACAACAUCCCUCUGGAUGAUGAAACUAUAGCUUUGGUCAAUGGUGGGGCUGACUUUGAACCCACAUAUGUCUGAUUCCAACACUAUGCUACACUCUUGCCUGAGCUGAGCUUUUGCCAAGAAGAUGUGCAGCAUUGGGAGGUUAAAGAAAUGUUUUUGCUUGGUUUUAAAGAUUUCUAAGAAGAAUAUAUCAAGCAACAGUUGAAGGAGACACUGAACAUGCGGUGGAAAUAGUUGAUGAAGACAAACCUAGUAAAGGAUGCAUGCUGCUGCAGACAACCCCAAGCUCAAGCUUUAAGCACUUCAAAGUCUAUCAAAGGUUGAUCCUCCUACCUAAUGGUCUUGCCAGGCUUGAGAAAAGACCUUUAUCCAUACUCCAUGGAAGGAUGUGAUGAAAGAAUGAUGGGGUAACUGAGGUUACCUUACCUGUGCCAGCACAGCCUUUGGGCAGCCACAGAAGUUUGUGUCUCUAAAAAUAACUUAUGUUUAGUUUACAAAGCA